rnacentral:rRNA from 1 species
UACGGAGGGUGCGAGCGUUGUCCGGAAUCACUGGGCGUAAAGCGCACGUAGGCGGAUUUUUAAGUCAGGGGUGAAAUCCCGAGGCUCAACCUCGGAACUGCCUUUGAUACUGGAGAUCUUGAGUCCGGAAGAGGUAAGUGGAACUGCGAGUGUAGAGGUGAAAUUCGUAGAUAUUCGCAAGAACACCGGUGGCGCAGGCGGCCAGCUGGCCCUGACCUGACGCUGAGGCGCGACGGCGUGGGGAGCGAACGGG